rnacentral:rRNA from 1 species
GAUGAACGCUGGCGGCGUGCCUAAUACAUGCAAGUCGAGCGAACAGAUGAGGAGCUUGCUCCUCUGACGUUAGCGGCGGACGGGUGAGUAACACGUGGAUAACCUACCUAUAAGACUGGGAUAACUUCGGGAAACCGGAGCUAAUACCGGAUAAUAUAUUGAACCGCAUGGUUCAAUAGUGAAAGACGGUUUUGCUGUCACUUAUAGAUGGAUCCGCGCCGCAUUAGCUAGUUGGUAAGGUAACGGCUUACCAAGGCAACGAUGCGUAGCCGACCUGAGAGGGUGAUCAGCCACACUGGAACUGAGACACGGUCCAGACUCCUACGGGAGGCAGCAGUGGGGAAUCUUCCGCAAUGGGCGAAAGCCUGACGGAGCAACGCCGCGUGAGUGAUGAAGGUCUUCGGAUCGUAAAACUCUGUUAUUAGGGAAGAACAAAUGUGUAAGUAACUAUGCACGUCUUGACGGUACCUAAUCAGAAAGCCACGGCUAACUACGUG